rnacentral:rRNA from 1 species
AUUGAACGCUGGCGGCAGGCCUAACACAUGCAAGUCGAGCGAGUGGCGGACGUGUGAGUAAUGUAUGGGAAUCUGCCCGAUAGAGGGGGAUAACUACUGGAAACGGUGGAUAAUACCGCAUACUAUCGGAUGAACCCAUAUGGGAUUAGCUAGUAGGUGGGGUAAAGGCUCACAUAGGCGACGAUCUCUAGCUGGUCUGAGAGGAUGUCCAUCCACACUGGAACUGAGACACGGUCCAGACUCCUACGGGAGGCAGCAGUGGGGAAUAUUGCACAAUGGGCGCAAGCCUGAUGCAGCCAUGCCGCGUGAAUGAAGAAGGCCUUCGGGUUGUAAAGUUCUUUCGGUAGCGAGGCGUUACCUGCAGAAGAAGCACCGGCUAACUCCGUGCCAGCAGCCGCGGUAAUUC